rnacentral:tRNA from 1 species
GGAGGAGUGGCCGAGUGGUUUAUGGCGGCAGUCUUGAAAACUGUUGGGCGCGAGAGCGUCACGGGGGUUCGAAUCCCUCCUCCUCCGCCA